AAAGACAAGGUCGUUAGAAAUAUUUUAAGCGAGUAGGAGAUGGUGGAAGCCCUACAAUCUCUUUCUAUGGAUCAUCACUUUGUUUGAUCUUUCCUGAAAAUAGUAAGGAGAGACGUCCGUUCACGUUACGAACAUAGAGGGAUAGAGGAAACUCUAUCUAAACUAAGGUGGUACCACGAACUUUCGUCCUUAUUUGGCGGGAGUUUUUUAUUUUUAUGAUA
rnacentral:misc_RNA from 3 species